GCAGCUCCACGACCACUGCAGCCGACCG
rnacentral:sRNA from 1 species